AUUGAACGCUGGCGGCAGGCCUAACACAUGCAUGUCGAACGGUAACAGGAAGACGCUUGCUUCUUUGCUGACGAGUGGCGGACGGGUGAGUAAUGUCUGGGAAACUGCCUGAUGGAGGGGGAUAACUACUGGGAACGGUAGCUAAUACCGCAUAACGUCGCAAGACCAAAAAGGGGGACCUUCGGGCCUCUUGCCAUCGGAUGUGCCCAGAUGGGAUUAGCUAGUAGGUGGGGUAACGGCUCACCUAGGCGACGAUCCCUAGCUGGUCUGAGAGGAUGACCAGCCACAAUGGAACUGAGACACGGUCCAGACUCCUACGGGAGGCAGCAGUGGGGAAUAUUGCACAAUGGGCGCAAGCCUGAUGCAGCCAUGCCGCGUGUAUGAAGAAGGCCUUCGGGUUGUAAAGUACUUUCAGCGGGGAGGAAGGGAGUAAAGUUAAUACCUUUGCUCAUUGACGUUACCCGCAGAAGAAGCACCGGCUAACUCCGUG
rnacentral:rRNA from 1 species